GGGGGCGACCUGGCUUCGACGUGGGUCGCGAAGCGGUGCAGUGCAUGCCGAGGACCAGUUCCCUCGUAAAUCCACUGGAAUGCAAUAAACGCCAACGACGAGCGUUACGCUCUCGCCGCCUAACACCGGCGAGACGCUGUACCGGCUGGCUCAUGGGCCGGACGGGAAAACGGGCGCAAGCCCGUUUGGAUGGGAUCGAAGCCUUCGGGUCGCGAUCUGAGCCGUAGCCCGUAGCAGCGUCAUUUUCAUGAGCUAAGGCCGUUCCUCGCCGCGGGGAACGGUUCGAAACACUCAGCGGAUCGCCUGCUGCCAGCCUGCCCGUUGGCGUGCAGCGGGUCAAAUCAAACAAUGGGCUAAGCAUGUAGCGCUGGCCGUAGAGGACUUGCGGACGCGGGUUCGAUUCCCGCCGCCUCCACCA
rfam:Betaproteobacteria bacterium CG2_30_68_42 cg2_3.0_scaffold_4670_c, whole genome shotgun sequence.